rnacentral:lncRNA from 1 species
UUGUUUCACGAUGAAGGUGGUGCGGCGCUGAAGAAGAAGAAGUUUUGUUUCUUUAGUUUUCUUUUGACAGUGACUGAGUGGUGGGAGUGAGGUAAGUGACUGAGGGAUGUGUUGGAAAAAAAAAAGAGAGAUCACGUGUGCUUUUAUUUCUCUCUCUUCGUUACCGUUGGAGUGUGUAGAGAGGUAACGUGUGAGUGUAUUUAUGAGUGAGCUGUCCAAUUGCCAGGAAAACAGAAAGAAUCCAAUGCUGAUAAAAUAUCUUUAUUUGCAAGCAUUUUUAUUAUUUAUUAUUAAAAAUUAGUUAUUAAAAA